CAGGCUAGGGGUCAAUUGAGCUGUAGCUGCCGGCCUACACCACAGCCACAGCAACGUAGGAUCUGAGCCACAUCUUUGACCUACACCACAGCUCAUGGCAACACCAGAUCCUUAACCCACUGAGCGAGGCCAGGGAUCGAACCCACAUUCUCAUGGAUACUAGUCAGGUUCGUUAACCACUGAGCCACGAUGGGAACUCAAAAUUCACCACAUACUCUCAAUUUUUUAAAAAAAUUGUAAAUAAAAUUGGAGUAAGUGGAUAGUUUCUAAAUAUAUUAUGCCAAAAAUCAACAUAUCAUGCUCAAUGUGAAAUGCUGAGAACAUUUUCAUCAAAGUCAAGAAUAAUUCUAGGGGCACAUUAGGCACACUGGAUAAGAAAAGAAGUGAGGGGUAUAAAUAAGAAAGAAGGAGGCAAAACUGUCAUUUUUGUGAACAUUAAGUUCAAGAUCAUCUAGAAACUAUUAAAACCAAUUAGAGAAUUUAGUAUGGCUGCUGAAUAGAGACCAAUACAUGCAAAACUUCAACAAUUACGUGAAAGAUGUGAGUUUUAAAUACGUGAUUUCAAAGAAGAGCAUGAAAGUAUGUUCAACAUCAUUAGCCCCCAGGGAAGUGGAAAUUAAAAUGAUGAUAGAUAGUGGAGUUCCCAUCGUGGUUCAGUGGUAACAAACCCAACUUGUAUCCAUGAAGACUCUGGUUCAAUCCCUGACCUCGCUCAGUGGGUUAAUGGUCCAGCGGCAUUGCCGUAAGCUGGGGUGUAGGUCACAGACAUAACUCGGAUCCCACAUGUCUGUGGCUGUGGUGUGGGCAGGCCCUACAGCUCCAAUUCAACCCCUAGCCUGGGAACCUCCAUAUGCAGUGGGUUCGGGCCUAAAAAGACAAAAAUAAAUAAAUAAAUAAUACUGGCGGGAGUGAAAAAUGAUGCAGCCACUCUGGAAAACAAAUGGCAGCUGCUUAAAAAGUUAAACAUACGCUCACCAUAUACCCUGUAAAUGUACUCCUGUGCAUUUAUGCUAGAGAAAUGAAAACACGUUCACAGAAAAACUUGUAUGGGCAUGCAUGUUCAUAGCAGCUUUGUUUGUAAUCUCCCCAAACUGGAAACAACCCUUCCAUGGGUGAGUGGUUAAACAAAAGGAAAAUAUUCAUCAGUAAGAAAGAACAAACUGGGGUUUCUGCUGUGGCGUGUUGGGUUAAGAAUCUGACUGCAGGAGUUCCCGUCAUGGUGCAGCAGAAACAAAUCCAACUAGGAACCAUGAGGACAAAGGUUCGAUCCCUGGCCUCACUCAGUGGGUUAGGGAUCCGGCAUUGCCAUGAGCUGUGAUGUAGGUUGCAGAUGCGGCUCAGAUCUGGCGUGUCGGUGGCUGUGGUAUAGGCCAGUAGCUGUAGCUCCGAUUCCACCCCUAGCCUGGGAACUUCCAUAUGCCACAGGUACAGCCCCAAACCAGCAAAAACAACAACAACAAAAACCCAACUGGUAUCCAUGAGGAUGCAGGUUCAAUCCCUGGCCUCACUCAGUGGGUUAGGAUCUGGCAUUGCUGUAAAUGCAGUGUAGAUCACAGAUAGGGCUCGGAUCUGGCAUUGCUGUGGCUGUGGCAUAAGCUGGCAGCUGUAACUCCAGUAUUUUGUCUUGUUUUUGUUUUCCUUUGUGGGUAGAUUUUUAACUUCUGAUUCAACUUGUCAAAGUAUUUAAGUUUUCUAUUCCUUAAAUCGGUUUUAGUAAGACAUACUUUGUCCUAAGAAAAUUUUUUAUUUCCCCUGGGCAUGUUAGCUGUGUAUUGCUGCAUAACAAUUACUCCAAUAAAACUUCAACAGUCCCAAUCAAAAUCCUAGCAAAUUAUUUUAUGGAUAUCAAUAAACUAAUUCUAAAGUUUGUAUGGCAAAGACCCAGAACAGCCACCACAAAAAGAACAACGUUGGAAGAUUGGCACUACUUUACUACAAGACUUACUGUAAAGCUAGAAUAAUCAAGACAGUGUCACGUUGGCAAAAGAAGAGACAGAUCAAUGGAACAGAAUAGAGAGGCCCAAAAUAGGUCCAUGUAAGUAGGGUUAACUGAUCCUUUGACAAAGGAACAGAGGCAAUACAAUGGAAAAGAGAUAAGAUAGCCAUCUGAAAAGUGAUGCUGGAACAAUGGACAGCCGCAUGGCAAAAAAAUGAAUCUAGACAUAGAUUUACACCCUUUGAAAAAAUUGACCCAAAAUGGAUCAUAGGGAAUUCCCUUCAUGGCUCAGUGGUUAAUGAACCCGAUUAACCUAGGAUCUAUGAGGAUUCAGGUUCAAUCCCUGGCCUUGCUCGGUGGGUUAAGGAUCUGGCAUUGCCAUGAGCUGUGGUAUAGGUCUCACACUCAGCUCUGAUCCCACGUUGCUGUGGCUGUGGUGUAAGCUGGCAGCUGUAGCUCCAAUUUGACCCCUAGCCUGGGAAUUUCCGUAUGCUGCAGGUGUGGCCCUAAAAACAAAAUAGCAAAAAACUCUCUCUGAUGAUAGUAGUGGACUUGUGCAUUUUUUUCUUAAAAUUCUGUCCGGUUUUUCAGUAUAUGUUUUAAAGCUGUAUUGUUAGAUACAAACUAUGUCACAUAUUUCUGGUGAAUUGUUUCUUCUAUUUUUAUGUGAUAACCCUUCAUUCUUAUCCCCAAUAAUGCUUUUUGGUUUACGAUCAAUUUGUCUGAUAUUACUAUAACGGUGCUAGCUUUCUUUGGGUUUGUAUUUAUCCACUACACCUUUUCCCAUCACUUUUUGUGCAUAUUUAUAUGUCGUUAUGUUUCAGUACGUCUCCUGCAACAGGUAUAGUUGCAUUUUCUUUGUUUAGUAUUUUUCUCCAAUCUGACAUUCUCUGUCUUUAACUGAAAUGUUUUGAUCAUUUACCUUUACUUCAAUCACUAGUAUAUUUGGAAAUAUUCCCUCCACCUUCCACUCUAUUUUCUAUUUGCUGUGUUUCUUUGCUUAUUUUUACCUUUUUCUGGCCUUAAUAAAGUUAUCUAUAUUCCCUUUUCUCUCUCUCUCUCUCUCUCUCUCUUUUUUUUAAGGCCAUUCCCUCGGCAUAUGGAGGUUCCCAAGCUAGGGGUCAAAUCGGAGCUGUAGCCACUGGCCUACACCACAGCCACAGCAAAACAGGAACCAAGCCGAGUCUGUGACCUACACCACAGCUCAUGGCAACGCCAAAUCCUUAACCCAUGGAGCGAGGCCAGGGAUCGAACUUGCGUCCUCACGGAUGCUAGUCAGAUUGGUUUCCUCUGAGCCAUGACGGGAACUCCGCCUUUUCUUUCUCUCAAGGUACAUCUUUAAGUGAAUGAAUGCUUUAGGUUAAUAAAUCAAUCAGUAUAUCUACUCUCCUCAAAAACAACUAAAGACAUUGGAACACUUCCACUCUGAUCACUCCUAUCUACAUGGUUUUAUUUGCCAGUGUUGUAGUUCCACUGUGCUUUCAUGUACCUCAAAUUAGUUCGCAUAUGGCCAGACCCCUACACUCAGAUGAAUAAAAGACUAAACAGGAGUUCCCGUCGUGGCGCAGUGGUUAACGAAUCCGACUAGGAACCAUGAGGUUGCGGGUUCGGUCCCUGCCCUUGCUUGGUGGCGUUGCGUGAGCUGUGGUGUAGGUUGCAGAUGCGGCUCGGAUUCCGCGAUGCUGUGGCUCUGGCGUAGGCUGGCGGCUACAGCUCUGAUUAGACCCCUAGCCUGGGAACCUCCAUAUGCCAUGGGAGUGGCCCAAAGAAAUAGCAAAAAGACAAAA
rnacentral:lncRNA from 1 species